ACUGAGCCACAAAACUGCCUCCUAAACAUUUAUUAAGUACUUACUAUGGGCCAGGCACUGGCCCAAGGCUGGUGCUACAAAAAGAGGUAGAAGACAGUCCCCUGCCCUCAAGGAGAUCAUAAUCUAAUGGAAGUAACUUGGCAGAAGACCAUCUAGGUGGUAAGAAGGUCCUCAGUGCAGCUCUGAAGACAGUGACCAGCCACUCUUUUGGCUGAUGCAACCUUCGUCACAGAUUCACUUUCUUCUCACACCACCCUCGAGCUUGGGUGAGUCCCUUUUGAGGUCUAUACUCAACUGGAAAUACCGGAACUGAAAGGCUCACAGUGGCCAGGUCCAGAUUCUGCCAGAUGACUUAAAUGAAAUCAUUUUUUUAAUGUCUUCAGUCCCACCAAGUUUUCAGUCCAAACUCUGAUUUCAUCUGCAUGGGGAACUCCUGGCAUGAAAACUCCCUCUGCCAAUGUGGCUAAGUAACUCCUUGGUGAAUUGUAGUUACAGCUUCUGCCCUGGAGGUAUGGAGGGAUUUGCCCAAGGCCACAUGGCUAGUAUGUAUCAAUAGAGGGAGGACCUGUAGCUAAGUCUUCCUAAAUCCAAGGCUGGCCUAUAUCCAUAAUGCUGUCCCACAAACAAGGAGUUAACUCCUUGGAAAGGCAAGGGGAAACAAGUAGCCAUGGUCUAAGUAAGAAUCGAGAGCUGAAGAGGCCCAUGGAGUCAAAUCCCUUUAUUUGACAGAAGAUUGGACUAGCUGAGAAGACUCAGCUACUGGCCUCAGAGAAACUCAGAAUGGAUUCUGUGACUCACUGCUUAAAGAAUGGAGUAGAUUCCAAGCCGGCAAUUCUAAUGGGCUGGGUAGAAUACCCUGGCGGUGUGUUCUUUGUAACAGACAAUGCUGAAAUAGAAAGUUGCCUGGUUGUACAAAAGGUCAGCGAUCAAGUGCUGAGAUGGACAGGUUGUGUAACUCAGGGAAAGCAGAGGUUUCUAACAAGACUGGGAGUAUCCUUCACCCAGACAGGACCAGUUCCAAAUAGGCAAGGGCCUCAGAAUUAACCAGGGAUGGGGAUUGCCUGUUGAUGAGACAUUCCAAUGGAUGGGGGCCCUCGGGAUUCCUCCUUGGCCCUGAAACAGAGUCUGAUCCAGCCCAGUCUAAUCAACUCCGACUUGGCGCACUCAACGCAAAAAACAGAACAAACUGGCUGACUUGCUGUUUCCCGCACACAACUCUC